rnacentral:rRNA from 1 species
UACGUAGGGUGCAAGCGUUGUCCGGAAUUAUUGGGCGUAAAGAGCUCGUAGGCGGUCUGUCACGUCGGCUGUGAAAUCCCGAGGCUCAACCUCGGGUCUGCAGUCGAUACGGGCAAACUAGAGUAUUGCAGGGGAGACUGGAAUUCCUGGUGUAGCGGUGAAAUGCGCAGAUAUCAGGAGGAACACCGGUGGCGAAGGCGGGACUCUGGGCCGAUACUGACGCUGAGGAGCGAAAGCGUGGGGAGCGAACAGG